rnacentral:misc_RNA from 1 species
CGCGACCACAGUUGUUAUGACCUGGCAUGAUGCGCGUGCACUGCCUGUUUUCCGUGACGGAGUGGUGUGGUGAGCGUCGAAAGCCUCUAAAGAAGGGAACCGACUUGCAGAAUAGCAUGGUUUACGAACAGCGAUCACAAGCUCAUGGCUGCGCAUAAAGUCUGCUAGCGCUGUUUGUGUGUGACCUGGUUCAUAACUUCGGCAGAACGUGGAACCCAGAAUUCGCCAUCACGAAAGGGAACGGCAGACACUUCCAGCUGAUGAGACCUGAGCGACGCCAGGCGAGCUUGGCUCUGCAGAAAACCGCGUAUAGCCAAUGUGAGAUGCGGCUGUUUUGAAGGUUGCCCUCGAUGCGGCAACAGGGCCCGCACUCAAAAUGUGGAGCCACUGGCAAUCAAACCACGUGAGUUUGUGAAUAGCUCUCUCGCAGCAGAGCCUUUUGUUUCCCUACCCCCCCCCAUCUCUUUCACUCCGCCCUGUUGUGAUCUCAGGCCGCUCGAAGAUCACCAAGGAGGCAGAGUCCGCAAGGGAAGCAGCCUUAUCAGCGCCGUGCUUGUUGUUCUCAGCUUGUAUUGGGAGUGGCUCCACUUUCCGUUGUGAAGAAAGUGUUGCGUACCGUUCGCUUCCUGGAAACAUCCGUGGAUCGAAUUUCUGCUCGCGGACAGAGUUGAAAAGAGCGCAGCCUCUUUCGGCUCGCUUUUCACGUCUGACACAAAGAGUGCCGCUUCUCUGGAAUUGUCGUGUGCGCUUGUACCGAAAUUGAAUG